rnacentral:rRNA from 1 species
GACGUAGGGCGCGAGCGUUGUCCGGAUUUAUUGGGCGUAAAGAGCUCGUAGGCGGCUUGUCGCGUCGUUCGUGAAAACCUGCAGCUCAACUGCAGGCUUGCGGUCGAUACGGGCAGGCUAGAGUUCGGUAGGGGAGACUGGAAUUCCUGGUGUAGCGGUGAAAUGCGCAGAUAUCAGGAGGAACACCGGUGGCGAAGGCGGCUCACUGGACCAUAACUGACGCUGAUGCACGAAAGCUGGGGGGAGCAAACAGG